GGUGUAGCUCAGUGGUAGAGCCCUUGCCUAGCAUGCUUGAGGUCCUGGGUUCCAUCCUCAGCAUCA
rnacentral:tRNA from 1 species